CAACACCAUAUAAUAUUUAAGUUCAUUAUGUUUUCAGAUUCUUUACUUUUUAAGAAGUUUUCGUUUGUAGUGCUAGCUUUUAAAAUGUAAAUCAAAUUCACUGCAUUAUGGCAUCAUUUACAAAUUGAAUAAACUAUAAAUUCCUCCGCAUGAAAUAAGCAAAUAUGGUGAAAUGCAAGUUUGGUUCGCUUAUCUUGUCAACGAUGCAUGGACAUGCUGAAAAGAGUUUAAAACCAAUUAGAAGCCCAUUUCUGCUGACAGUUUUCGCACAUUUUCAUGGCUGUCAAUGCUUUACCAAAUCCCUUAAUCGAUGUCCAGCUUAUCCCAUUAGGCAAUCACAAUUUAUAUGUCUGCGGCAAAAUCAUUCCCAUACCUCGAUGUGUCAUCAUUAAUUACUUGAACGGAAGUUACAUUCCAUCCGUUCGUUUCGUUUCAGUCGCUCAUUCAUUCAUUCAUUCGCUCGUUUAUUCAUUCCAUUCGCUCGGGCCUUUUAAUUUUCUAUGAUUUAUGCGUAAUUUGCUUUCGAUCCGAACAGAAUCGAACCGAACAGAACAGAACCUGCUGUCCAUUUAAGUUCCCCAACAGGCCACGGGUAAA